rnacentral:rRNA from 1 species
CAGGAUGGGGACGAACAGACGGAAACGACUGCUAAUACCGAAUAAGUUCCAAGAGCCGCAUGGCCCAUGGAAGAAAAAGGUAGGGCCUCUACCUGUAAGCUAUCGCCUGAAGAGGGGUUUGCGUCUGAUUAGCUGGUUGGAGGGGUAACGGCCCACCAAGGCGACGAUCAGUAGCCGGUCUGAGAGGAUGAACGGCCACACUGGUACUGAGACACGGUCCAGACUCCUACGGGAGGCAGCAUG